GCCUGUCCACUUGCUGACAUUGUUUGCUGCAUCAGCGUUGUUCUGCUGCAGGACUCUCGUCAGGAACAAGACCAAGUUCACGCCAACCCCGAAGAAUGCCAACGUCGCUAAUCCUUGGUUCACUGCAUCGAGGUUACAGAGCUGAACAAAAAGUUUAGGACAAGAUGUCUUUUCCGGGUCAGAAUUCACACACCCACAUGUGGUGCUGUUCAGAUUCCAGAGGCAAAUUCCAAAAUCCUUGUGGGGGGUUGAUGCAAGAUGCAGUUGCAGAUUGUGACAAUGGCAGUGACCCCCCACUCUGAUGUGAUGUUGAUCCUUCCAGUUUGCCAAGUCGACAAGUAAAGCUCAAGCUCAGGAUCCUAGAGAAAGAAUCUACCACACGCAAGCCUACAAGAGAGGUCUUCUUACAUCUGUCUGCCUGUUUGGUGAAAGAAGCCGGUAAAAUAGACAGCUACAAACACCUGAUAAGCAGCAGUGCCUGGCAGGAGUGUGCAUCUACAUCUAAAGAGACCCACUCAACGAUCAGGUGAUCUUUACUGGAUAUUUCUUGUGCUUAUAACAUCAAAAUAGCCAACAUCUGCUUUUGAUUUUGAUCUUGAGAUCACCAACAAAGCAUCAUUAGUGGCAGCAUAAAUAUCUUUGCGCGCAUACUUGGAAUUCUCUCCUCUUUUUUUUUUUUUUUUUUCUUUUCUGUGAUCUAUUAGAACAAGUCUUGAUACAAUGAGAAGGUUGUUUCUUGGUGACAUGAAUGGUCAGAAUUCGAAAAGGGAACCAAAAUAAAAACCAAAGUGUCAAUUAAAUGAA